CGGUAAUACAGAGGGUGCAAGCGUUAAUCGGAAUUACUGGGCGUAAAGCGCGCGCAGGUGGUUUGUUAAGUURGAUGUGAAAUCCCCGGGCUCAACCUGGGAACUGCAUCCAAAACUGGCAAGCUAGAGUAUGGUAGAGGGUGGUGGAAUUUCCUGUGUAGCGGUGAAAUGCGUAGAUAUMGGAAGGAACACCAGUGGCGAAGGCGACCMCCUGGACUGAUACUGACACUGAGGUGCGAAAGCGUGGGGAGCAAACAGGAUUA
rnacentral:rRNA from 1 species